rnacentral:rRNA from 1 species
CGAGUGCCCCGAGCGUUAUCCGGAAUUAUUGGGCGUAAAGGGUGUGUAGGCGGUAGUGUUAGUCUUUUGUUAAAUUCUUCGGCUUAACCGGGGGCAUGCAGAAGAAACGGCACAACUAGAGGAUGCGAGAGGUGAAUGGAACUCAUGGAGUAGGGGUGAAAUCCGUUGAUAUCAUGGGGAACACCAAAUGCGAAGGCAAUUCACUGGCGCACUCCUGACGCUGAAACACGAAAGCGUAGGUAGCGAAUGGGAUUAGAUACCCCAGUAGUCUACGCCCUAAACGAUGAUGACCGGUUCUUCGGAGUAUCGACCCUCUGAGGGACGAAGCUAACGCGUUAAGUCAUCCGCCUGGGUAGUACGGCCGCAAGGCUA